GACACGGUCCAGACUCCUACGGGAGGCAGCAGUGGGGAAUUUUGCGCAAUGGGCGGAAGCCUGACGCAGCAAUACCGCGUGAGUGAAGAAGGCCUUUGGGUCGUAAAGCUCUGUCAACUGGGAAGAAGUUACUAUUUUUUAAUAGAGGGUAGUAUGGACGGUACCAGUGGAGGAAGCGCCGGCUAACUCCGUGCCAGCAGCCGCGGUAACACGGGGGGCGCAAGCGUUAUUCGGAAUUAUUGGGCGUAAAGGGCGCGUAGGCGGUUUUGUCGGUCAGAUGUGAAAGCCCGGGGCUCAACCCCGGACGUGCAUUUGAAACAGCAAGACUUGAGUACGGGAGAGGAAAGCGGAAUUCCUGGUGUAGAGGUGAAAUUCGUAGAUAUCAGGAGGAACACCGAUGGCGAAGGCAGCUUUCUGGACCGAUACUGACGCUGAGGCGCGAAGGCGUGGGUAGCGAACAGGAUUAGAUACCCUGGUAGUCCACGCAGUAAACGAUGUACACUAGGUGUAGCGGGUAUUAAAACUUGCUGUGCCGGAGCUAACGCAUUAAGUGUACCGCCUGGGGAGUACGGUCGCAAGACUAAAACUCAAAGGAAUUGACGGGGGCCCGCACAAGCGGUGGAGCAUGUGGUUUAAUUCGAUGCAACGCGAAGAACCUUACCUGGUCUUGACAUCCUCGGACCGCUUCAGAGAUGAAGUUUCCUCUUCGGAGGCCGAGUGACAGGUGCUGCAUGGCUGUCGUCAGCUCGUGUCGUGAGAUGUUGGGUUAAGUCCCGCAACGAGCGCAACCCUCGUCACUAGUUACUAACGGUUCGGCCGAGGACUCUAGUGAGACUGCCUUCGCAAGGAGGAGGAAGGUGAGGACGACGUCAAGUCAUCAUGGCCCUUACGGCUAGGGCAACACACGUGCUACAAUGGGCAGGACAAUGAGACGCGAUACCGCGAGGUGGAGCAAAUCUAUAAACCUGUUCUCAGUUCGGAUUGUAGUCUGCAACUCGACUACAUGAAGCUGGAAUCACUAGUAAUCGUAGAUCAGCUAUGCUACGGUGAAUACGUUCCCGGGUCUUGUACUCACCGCCCGUCACACCAUGGGAGUU
rnacentral:rRNA from 1 species